rnacentral:rRNA from 1 species
AGCAGCCGCGGUAAUUCCAGCUCCAAUAGCGUAUAUUAAAGUUGUUGCAGUUAAAAAGCUCGUAGUUGAAUUUCGGGAUCAAGUCGUCGGUCGUGCUCAGGUACGUACUAGCGUCAUUGAUUUCUCCCUUCUGACGAACCAUGAUGUCAUUAAUUUGGUGUUAUGGGAAAUCAGGACUGUUACUUUGAAAAAUUAGAGUGUUUAAAGCAGGCUCACGCUUGAAUACAUUAGCAUGGAAUAAUGAAAUAGGACGUUCGAUCCUAUUUUGUUGGUUUUAGGAUCAACGUAAUGAUUAAUAGGGAUAGUUGGGGGCAUUAGUAUUCAAUUGUCAGAGGUGAAAUUCUUGGAUUUAUUGAAGACUAACUACUGCGAAAGCAUUUGCCAAGGAUGUUUUCAUUAAUCAAGAACGAAAGUUAGGGGAUCGAAGACGAUCAGAUACCGUCGUAGUCUUAACCAUAAACUAA